rnacentral:rRNA from 1 species
AGAGUUUGAUCCUGGCUCAGGAUGAACGCUGGCGGCGCACUUAAGACAUGCAAGUCGAACGGAAAUUUAUUGAAAGCUUGCUUUUAAUGAAUUUUAGUGGCGGACGGGUGAGUAAUACGUAGGUAAUCUGCCUUAAAGAGAGGGAUAACUGAGAGAAAUCUUAGCUAAUACCUCAUAAGACCACACUGUGGCAUCACAGAGGGGUCAAAGGAGCAAUCCACUUUAAGAUGAGCCUACGGCUGAUUAGUUAGUUGGCGGGGCACCAAGACUAUGAUCAGUAGCCGGGCUGAGAGGCUGGCCGGCCACAUUGGGACUGAGACACGGCCCAGACUCCUACGGGAGGCAGCAGUCGGGAAUAUUGGACAAUGGGGGAAACCCUGAUCCAGUGACGCCGCGUGAAGGAAGAAGGUCUUCGGAUUGUAAACUUAUUUUAUUAGGGAAGAAACAAAUGACUGUACCUAAAGAAAAAGCACCGGCUAACUACGUGCCAGCAGCCGCGGUAAUACGUAGGGUGCAAGCGUUAUCCGGAUUUACUGGGUGUAAAGGGCGAGUAGACGGGAGAUUAAGUCAGAUGUGAAAACUUAGAGCUCAACUUUAAGACUGCAUCUGAAACUGGUUUUCUUGAGUGCUGGAGAGGUAAGCGGAAUUCCUAGUGUAGCGGUGAAAUGUGUAGAUAUUAGGAAGAACACCAGUGGCGAAGGCGGCUUACUGGACAGUAACUGACGUUGAGGAGCGAAAGUGUGGGGAGCAAACAGGAUUAGAUACCCUGGUAGUCCACACUGUAAACGAUGGAUACUAGGUGUUGGCAAGCGAUUGUCAGUGCCGGCGCUAACGCAAUAAGUAUCCCACCUGGGGAGUACGACCGCAAGGUUGAAACUCAAAGGAAUUGACGGGGGCCCGCACAAGCAGUGGAGUAUGUUGUUUAAUUCGACGCAACGCGAAGAACCUUACCAAGACUUGACAUAUACAGGAAUGAUUAAGAAAUUAGUCAGUUCUUCGGAACUUGUAUACAGGUGAUGCAUGGUUGUCGUCAGCUCGUGUCGUGAGAUGUUGGGUUAAGUCCCGCAACGAGCGCAACCCUCGUGACUAGUUGCUACUAUUUAGUUAGGGAACUCUAGUCAGACUGCCGUGGAUAACACGGAGGAAGGUGAGGAUGACGUCAAAUCAUCACGUCCCUUAUGUCUUGGGCUACAAACGUACUACAAUGGCUAUAACAAAGAGAAGCGAAUCCGCGAGGAGGAGCAAAACUGAUAAAAAUAGUCUCAGUUCGGAUUGCAGGCUGAAACUCGCCUGCAUGAAGCUGGAAUUGCUAGUAAUCACAGGUCAGCAUACUGUGGUGAAUACGUUCCCGGGCCUUGUACACACCGCCCGUCACACCAUGAGAGUUG